CGGGGUGUAGCUCAGCGGUAGAGCGCUUCGUGCCUGCGACGGAGAGGUCGAAGGUCCAAUUCCUUCCACUCCGA
rnacentral:tRNA from 1 species